AAGCCAGUCAAUGAAUCUGCUUACCUGAUUGUGUUCCUGCAGAAAUUUUUUAUAACUGGUGAUAGCAAUGCCAUGUUAUGAGCCUUAAUGACUUUAGGGUCUUUAAGGUCCCUGAAAGUGGCUAUAUGA
rfam:Erinaceus europaeus unplaced genomic scaffold scaffold00247, whole genome shotgun sequence